rnacentral:rRNA from 1 species
UACGUAGGGUGCGAGCGUUAUCCGGAAUCAUUGGGCGUAAAGAGCUCGUAGGCGGUUCAACAAGUCGGCUGUGAAAGUCCGGGGCUCAACCCCGGAAUUGCAGUCGAUACUGUUGUGACUUGAGUCCGGUAGAGGAGAAUGGAAUUCCCGGUGUAGCGGUGGAAUGCGCAGAUAUCGGGAGGAACACCAGUAGCGAAGGCGGUUCUCUGGGCCGGCACUGACGCUGAGGAGCGAAAGCGUGGGGAGCAAACAGGAUUAGAUACCCUGGUA